CAGCAGUCUAAGUACAUGUGAGUACACGAAACCGCGCAAGGGUCAAUACAACAGGUAAAAAGUAUACGGUGAGAUACCCUUUAAUGGAUAUUUGCGGUAAAUUUGGAGGUUAAACAAGCAAAAAAGAUUGUAUAAAUUUGUUGUACAAAUGCCGUUUUUUGAAUUAAAACCAAGGGGUUUGGCCCNAUAAGGUUAAUUUAGAUAAAGGGGUUCCCANCAGAAUAAAUUUUGAAGGGAAGCCGGAUUUGUAUUUGCCCCAUUCAAUAUAUAACCGGGUAUUGGACGGGUNUGGGGUUGCCGGGGAAAGGGGAAAUUGGGGUUGUUUUCGGGGAGAAAGCCCUUAAAACGGGUUUUACAUUCCAAGGAAGGAGCCGGGGGGGAAAAUUCCCCCUUUCAGGGGGGGGGGGGAGGGGAGGGGAAAGGCAAAUUUCCUUUUUUUUAGGGAGGGACAAUGGGAAGGGUUUAAUUUUAAUUCCAUGAAGAAUAUCCAAGGGAGGGGCAAUUUGGGGCCCGCCACCGCGGGAAAUUCCGGUUUCAUAAUGCCAUGGAAUGGUGUUGCGGGUUAAAAAUUUGUAAUUGCCAAGGUUCGGGAUGAGGAGGGUUUACUUUAUUGUUAAUACUAUUUCUACCGUUAAGAGUUUAUAUGGUUAAUACCCAUAUAACUCAGUUACUUUGAGUAAAUCAGAGUGCUUAGAACAAGCGUAUUGCUUGAAUGGUUGUGCAUGGAAUAACAAUACAAUGCAUUGAUAUUUGUUUUGUUGGUUUUAAUGUCAAUGAAUGAUUAAAAGGAACAAACGGGGGCAAAAGUAUCAUAAGGCGAGAGGUGAAAUUCGGGACCCUGANCAAGGA
rnacentral:rRNA from 1 species